GUUACUGUUUCAAUUUAACGAAAGCACCAAAACGAUAUCACCAAUUCACCAUUCACCAUUCACCACUCAUAACAACUCGUGAUUGCUUGGCAGUGGGAAAUGAAUAUGGCAACCACAAUAAGGCCACUCUCGGUGGCACCGCCAACCACAGGAGCAAUUUUCCGCCCACACUUCAACUUCAAUGGUGGUUGUUUCAAAAUCACAAGCAGGAAGAACAAUAACACUAUUUGUCAGCAUCAUCGUCGUCGUCGUCAUCAUCAUCAGCUACAGCAGCAGCAAAAUGAUGAACUGAAGUUGAAUUUUGGAGAAAUCAUCCGAAUAAGCAAUUUUAAUAGAGCGGAAUUCGGAGCAAUCAAAAUCGGUAAAUUAGGCCAGAAAUUGAGCUGCAAAGCUAUGGAACAAACUCAAAGUACAAGCGUUUAUCAAGGUGCAUAUGGUCCUUGGACUGUUGAAUCCGACGACAUUCGUGAGGUGAUUUUAUAUAGGUCUGGGCUUGUGACGGCUGCUCUCUCCUUUGUCCUCGCCUCUUCAACGACUUUUUUGCCUGGCAACUCUUUGUUAAGCGACGCCCUUGGGCAUAAUCUUGACCUGUUCUAUCUAUUGGGAUCAGCUGGACUGGGUUUGUCAUUAUUUUUGAUUCACAUCUAUGUAACUGAAAUUAAGCGCACCCUGCAAGCACUCUGGGCCUUGGGCAUCAUCGGUUCUUUGGUUACUUAUGCAGCCCUUGCUCAACCAGCUGGUGAGGGCUUGGUGCAAUAUGUUGUUGAUAAUCCGAAUGCAGUCUGGCUUGUGGGUCCGGUUUUUGCUGCUCUCACAGGACUGGUUUUCAAGGAAGGUCUUUGCUAUGGGAAGUUGGAAGCUGCUGUCCUUGCGAUCAUAAUACCUACAUGUCUUCUUGGCCACCUGAGUGGCUUAAUGGAUGAUGUAGUGAAAUCGAGUCUUCUAGGUGUGUGGAUGGUGCUCUUUAUUAUUUUUGCUGGAAGAAAGUUCACUCAGCCUAUAAAGGAUGACAUAGGUGACAAGUCUGUGUUCAUGUUUAAUGCUCUUCCGGAAGAGGAGAAGGCAGCUUUUCUUGAGAAGCUUGAGCAGAAAAGGCUUUAGACCAAGUCUGCCUAGAGACCCCCAUUCCUGAGCAAAAUAAUCUUAUGAAAAUUAUUAUCUUAGGUUGCCUAUGACAGCAUAGAAGAGAGAUAGAAUCUCACACUGAUCCAAGCUUGCUGUUUCUGAGAGAAGUCUGAUACAUUACGGGAGCAAGGAGGGGACUUUAAUAUGUCAUACCACGGAUCCUAUUGUGACAUCUCUUUCUGCACCUUUUGAUCGUGAAGCCUCCCAAUCACAGUUUCUUGGCGGAGAACUGUCUGGAGAAUGGCCAAGCUUUUAAUAUUUGGAUCAACUGGAUAUUUAUGCUUUGUUUCAGAUGAUGAUGUAGGGGUUUCUGCUAUGUAAUUCAGGUUGUUUACCGAUGACUGUCGUGUUUUCCCUCCGUCAUUUGGCGGUUAACUUACCUUUUCAUAGAAUGACUUAGCAAUGUCAGGUCCUCUCCCUUGAUUUUGAACUCUCUUUGCAUCUUGCGAACAAGAGAGCGACAAUGAUACUCUUCAUUAUUGGAAAUUAAAUUUACUAGUAGCUCAAGUUUGGCCAAUUAUCUGUCACAUUUGGAUUUUCUCCUGGAACGUGUAGCUUAUAUUCACAAUCUGAAUUUCCAAUUACGACUACUGUUGUCUCAACUCUCAAGGUUUCUCAAUAUAUAAUGUACUUUAUGACCUUAGGAGUCCGCAACUUUAUGUUGCAUAUGGGAGUACUUAAAGGGUGUUGCCCUGAGCACUGAUGCAUCCAAAUGUGCAUCACGACACAUGCCAAAGUUUGGUGAAUGUAAAGCGUGUGCGUCAGGUGUUGUGACAAGCCUUAUGGAAGUAUGUUGUAGGAUAAUUCCUAUCUAGACAAAGUCAUUGUGUAAAAGAAACAAAGUAAAGUUAAUCUUGCUACAUAAAGAACAAUAUGGCAUUUUAUUGUGUCAUAGAGAAGUCAAGAUUGUAACUUCAAUCACCUCGAGGCAAUAGUCGAGGGGUAAGGGGCGAAAACAUAGAAGAUUUGCAGGGGUGAGGGUCGAGUACUCAAACGUAUUCACAAAGUUUUUGAAAUUAGCCGUAGCUCGUUUCAAACGAACUAAAGCCUAGUUGAGUUGAAUUGAGUUUGGAACUUUCAUUCAAAAAAUGGUCUAAUUUCUCGAAAAUUAGACUACAAUAGACCCUUUUCCUUAGCUUUUAGGAUUAUUCUCUUCUUACAAUAUUUCUUUUCGUCUUGCUCUGUCUAUUUAUGAAAGUUUUUUUUUACCCAUUUCUAUGGGUUUUUUAUUCUCAUCAUUGGUGCGAUAUUUUUGUAUCUUCAGGUGAUAAUAAUUGAGAAGGUGAUAUGGAUUUAAAAGGGUUUAGAAUUUUUCAUCAAUUCUUCGAUCAAAACAAU